rnacentral:rRNA from 1 species
GCCCAGUGAAUUCAUAUUUCAACGGCCGCGGUAUCUUAACCGUGCAAAGGUAGCAUAAUCACUUGCCCAUUAAUUGUGGGCUAGAAUGAAAGGACCAACGAAAUAAAGACUGUCUCUAUAAGUAAAAUAAAAAUUAAUCUCUAACUGAAGAUUGUUAGAUAAAGUUGAAGGACAAGAAGACCCUAUAGAGCUUUAUUUUAAUAAAUAUAUAAAAUUUUAUAAGAUUCGGUUGGGGCGACCAGGGAAAUUACAAAUCAUCCCCUAUAAAUAGAUAAAUAGAUCAAAUGCUUGACCCUAAAUAAAGAUCACCAAACCAAGCUACCUUAGGGAUAACAGGCUAAUCACACUAAAGAGUCCUUAUCAAUAGUGUGGUUUGGCACCUCGAUGUUGGCUUAGGGAAUCUAUAUGACGCAAAAGUCCUAUAAAGAUGGUUUGUUCAACCAAUAAUACCCUACAUGAGCUGAGUUCAGACCGGCGUAAGCCAGGUUAGUUUCUAUCCUCAAUAAAUUAACCUAUUUAUAGUACGAAAGGACCUAAAUAAGGAUAAUAAUUAUAUAUAUAAAGAAUACAUAUAAUCCUUCUUAAAUAUCAAUUUAUAUACACUAUAUGAUAAGUUGGCA